rnacentral:lncRNA from 1 species
GCACCAGCCCUGGGCGCUCCGAGGCGCCCUAGUUGUGGUGGCCGCCUCGGCCCCUCGGCUCCCCUUGCACUGCGCUGCGCCCUCACCUGCACUAGGUGGAAGCGACCGGGCGCAGUGGCGCCCUUUGGCUCUCGGAGCACCCAGUCCCUGCCGAGGCCGCGCCGCCGGGUCCUAGCGCCUUCAUUCCUCAACCCCAACCUCCGUGGGUGAUGGCCAAGAGUGCAGAGUGAGGGGAGCUGCAGACAUUUUCCUCUGUCAUUUAACCUACAGUGACACUGGAGUGAGCCACAGAGGACGCAGUCAUUUCCUCGUGUCCUUUCUUCGUUCUCGCGCUUCUGUGAAAUGGGUAGAAUCUACGCCACGGGGAGUACGGGAGAAUCUCCCUUUCCAUCGCUGCCAACAAGGGUGCCACGGGCAGCAAAUUUCAGAGCCCUCAACUCCCCAGGAGGAACCCCAGGCUGCAGGAGCCAGCUGACUGCAAGAACUGCACUCAACCACUUAACUUGAGAACAAAUACGGAGCCAGAGAAGAGGUUUUCUGGGAUCUGCCACUUUGGACUUCAAAUCUCAAAAUAAACUUCCAGCCUCAAGGUCCUAAACUCUACUGGAGAGCUCAGCUCCUCACGCAAGGGCUUGUUGUGGGGCUUCCAGGCAGAGGGUCAAGGCCAGAGGCUCAAACUAGCGCCUGACCUGCUCUUCCCUCCCAUCCCCCACCUCCACUCCAUCGUAACCGGAGCCAGGGGAGGAGUCGCUGAUUUGGGAGUCAAGUUCUGGUCGAGAGGGCCCCUGCCUGGAGUCAAGUCAGCACUUACUGAGGUCCUGCUGUACACUGAGCACUGGCUAGGGCAUCCUAAAAGACAGGAGUAAAAGGGUCUCACCCCCAAGGCAUUUACAUGCAAAUGCAAUAAAGCCAUCUAAAGGCUGGGAUGAUAAGGCUCUGCUGUCUGCUGAGGCAGAAAAGGCCUGAGGGAGAAUCCCAGGACUACCCCCCCCCAUCUUUUUCCACUAUUCUCAGCUGUGUGUGGCUCAGUGAUUUUGAAUUUUUACUGGCCCUUGGAUGGGAAUGGAGAUGAGCUAAGGGGAGUUUGGGUGUAAGUAAACAGCUCUUACUCCACCCGGGUCUACCCCCCUUGGAGGCCCCGCUUCCCUGGGCCCCUUUGGUGAUGACCUUCUCUUCUUCCCGGUGGGUGGGAGGUGGUGUGGAUGGUAAUGAGCAGAGAGAAAAGCUGAGAAGGGGCUGGGGGGAGGUUUGGAUAGGAGUCAAGGAAUUCCUGAGACUGCUGCUUGCACAGGGGGCCCUGAGACGCCUUUGCUGAGAUUUCUUUGCAAACCUAGGCAAGUCUCAUUUGAAGUGGGGCCAGGUUCACCCAGACCCCUAGUGCCCCCAGCUCUUGUUCUUCCUCUCCCACCACCCCAGGCAGGUGCCUAGGGAAGAGCAGGGAGUUUGGGAAGAACCCAGGGGCUUUUAAGGAGGGUGAGAUGGGGAUCAAUGCUUUGUACACAGCCUGACGGGCCUCUCCUUGGUAUUUAUGAGCUCCCAGGCGAAGCAUUGGACUUGUCUCAAAGAGGCCAGGCCAAGAGGGCUUUGGAGGAAGGAGCAUCUGCCCCAAACCAGGGGAAGGCUUUCAGUGGGGCAGGGCUAAAGACAGAGACCCUCUCUCUCCCAGCCAGUGGCCAAAUGGGGGUAGACCAAUCCCCAAGGGCCCCUGCGAAAGGAAAAGAGAGAGCUAAGGGAGAAGGGGAAGCGGAGGCCUGAGGAGGCGGAGCCCCGGGGGUCUGGAGCCUUUUAGCACUUUGGCUGUAAUCAGACCGGAGCCAGGCGGUGGGCGGGCUGACAGCCAUCCUGGGCGGGUGGCCCAGGUUCUGUGUGAGGCCAGUGGGUGUGCUGCUGGGAUCCUGGGUGGUCACUGACCAGCCUAACCCCAAGGGAGGGUGGUCCUACUUUGCCCCCAGCCCCUCUCUCACAACCUGCCUGUAUCAAAUAGACUACACAGAGUUCUCGUUCUCCUCUCACCACCUGUUCUGGGCUUCAGAACAAUCUGGAAGUAAGAUUUUCUUCCAGUGGAACCAUCUGUAGAGCCCACUCUCUGGCUCCCUCCCAGUCUGCUUUCCCUGGUUCACUCUGCCUCUUGCUCUUCGCCAGUCUCUUUUCUGUGUCAUCAUCUCUCUGGGUCUCUCUCUGGCCCAUAUUUCUGUCAUUCUGUGUCUAUUCCUUUCUCUCUGCAUUUGUCUCUCUGCCUGUUUCUGCUAGCCUUUCCUCCUCUGUCAGAACCUCUGCCUCCCUAUCUAGCUCUGUCACUCUUGUUUCGGUCUGUAUCUCUGUCUCCCCCUCCAUCUUUCACUCUAUGAAUCUGUAUGACUCCCGUUCUCAUUCUUGUCGCUUUCUUCAUCUCUCUUUCUCCAUAUCUUUUCUGAUUCUCAGCCUCUGUGUCCCUCUUUUUCUUUAUGUAUCUUUGUUUCUCUUUGUGUCUGUCCUCUCUCUUUCUCUUGCCCUCUGCCUCACACCUUCUUCUGCAGUCCCUCCAACACAGUGCAAAGUGCACUGGACUGAAAGAAAUCAGGCCCCCACCACCAACACCACCCCGCGCAUGCUCAAUCAUGUAAGAUUUGCAUGACUCUCUGUCACUUUCCCACUCCUGGCCUCAGUUUCCUUGCAUGUGAAACAAGUGGGAUAGAGAUCCAGUUCCCUCUCUCCAGGCCUCUUUCUGUCUUUAUCUCUCAUUUCUUGUAGCAAAGCCCAUCCUUUCUUCUGAGGGUUCUGCUUCUUUGCUCCCUAAAUUUAAAGUUAGGACUUCAGCCUCCUCCAGACUCCCAGUGGGAAGGAGUCUCUGAUACUGUCAGCCAGCAGGCCCCAAAAGGACCCCUCACUCUUUUACUCUCUUAAACAGGGUAGACAAGGUCCGUUUCUGGGGCCAUGUCUGGGAUAUAAACCAGAUUAGCUCAUCUCUCUAAUCCUCUUUGUGCUGGGGCCUCUGCCAGGCAGGGACACCCACAGCGCAGAGUGAGGGUGUGUGUGUGUGUGUGUGUGUGUGUGUGCGCCGGCAUGUGCACAGGCAGAUUCUUAGAGAAAACAGGACCAAGGUUCUCCUCCCUCUGUUACCCUCUGUUGCCUAAAAAGCCCAAAUCAAGCCCUGAGUCCAUAGGAAAACUCCUCAGGCUUGAGCCAAAUCAGGGUUUUCAUAAUCCCAGUCUGUUCCUCCCCCACCUCCCCAUCUCCUUUACUACAGCCUCUCUAGGGCUGGAGAAAUCAUUCCAGCCCUCCGCCUGUUCCUUAACAGCCCGGAACCCACCCCUUCGCCACACAUAUAUUCCUUCCCAGUCAUUUUCCCAGAAGGGUCUUUCCAUCCCUUCCAGAAAAGUCUGGGUGUCAGGCAGAGAACAGGGGACCUGGAGGAGGAGGGGGAGGGCAGGCAGACCCUGGGUGUCACACUUUAAGUUAGAGGCCUCCGGCCUCUCUCAGAAGUUUCAUUUGAAGAGGUCUUUCUUGGCUGAUAAGAUCAAAGCAUUCCCUCUGCCAAAUCACUACCUUAUUUUCCAGGCAAUUAUAGAACUUAUUGUAUCAAUUAGCCUGGUCUCCAGCUGCAGCAGUUUAUCUCUGUCGUCGUGCGCUUGCGGGAGACAUGGUCUGCCUGGCCCAGCCAGCCCGACCAGCGAGGGAAGGGCGGGAGCAGGGCCGAGGCCCGGGGAGCUGUCCGGCUGCUUUCAGCAGGGAUCUGGCAGGUACAGGGCAACUGGGGGUGCCCUUCUGAGGUCUGGAGACCCGGCCAGUCUUCCCUGUGUGCCCUGCUACCGCUGCAGGAGCGCUCUUUUUCCGCGGCGCCACACCUGCACGCCUGAUGUGGCCCGGGAGGGCGAGCCACCAGAGCCUAGAACAGGGAUGAGACCAAUCAGGCCCGGCCUGGGCGCUGGCCCCGCGGAGGAAAACGCUGAGCGGGAGCCAAGAUGCCCUCUCCUUCCUGACUCUGGCGGGUGACUCACUCUGUGGGCCGUGCGCCCCACAGUGGCAUUUCCUGGAAAGGCAUAGUUGGGUGAGCUUCGACUUUGUGGGGGCUCCGGCGUUUCAAACUGGAAGAAAAUCUUAGGAGUGCGCGGCACGGAGAAGUGGGUGCCUCCAUGGGUGCAAGGAAUGUGGCCUGCUUUGCCUCUGCCCUGUCUGCAGCCUCUUUUCUGCAGAAGAACCAUGCCCACACCUGGCGCUGGGGUCGGGUGGGGCCCAUUAGUGUGGCUGUUCUCAAAUUUUUCCGUCUCAGUAUCCCUUUACACUCUUAAAAAUUAUCAAGGACCCUAAAGAGCUUUUACUUAGGUGGGUUAUAUCUAUCCAUAUUAGCAUUUAAAAGGAAGGCAGGAGCCAAACUGCAAGUGUUCCCAGCGGCCAAAGUUGGGACAAUUUGAGCAACAAAAUUAAGUAAUUUUGGAUUAUGACCCAAAGUAUAAAAUACAUAUGCAUGAGUCCAUACUGAUAUAAAUAAAUGAUUCCUAACUGUGGGCUACAGAUGAUUUCCUUCUAGAGUACAAAACAGAAAAAGGGUGUGUGUGGUGGGGGGAGUAACUUUACAGUGGAGAAACCUGACAAACCUCAGUCAGGUGAUCAAGGUCAACAUCAGCAGUGACUAUUCAUGUUGAUAGUGGACCCUUGAUGUGAUGUGAUGAAAAUGAUACUUUACCUCUGUGGUUUCCCUCUCCGUAGCCAAAGUCUUAACUAGAAGAAAAAAAAUCAAAUUAAUUGCAUCAGAGGGACGGUCCACCAAACACUUGACCAGUGACUGCUCCUCAAAACUGUCAAGGUCAUUCAAAAACAAGGAAAGUCUGGAGUUCCCGUCGUAGCUCAGUGGUUAAUGAACCUAACAUCCAUGAGGAUGUGGGUUCGAUCCCUGUCAGUGGGUUAAGGAUCUGGCUUGCCGCGAGCUGUGGUGUAGGUCAAAGAUGCGGCUUGGAUCUGGCGUGGCUGUGGUGUAGGCCUGUGACUUCAGCUCUGAUUAGACCCCUAGCCUGGGAACCUCCAUAUGCUGCAGGUGCGGCCCUAGAAAAGACCAAAAAAAAAAAAACAGGGAAUGUCUGAGAAACUGUCACAGCCAAGAGGCACCUAAGGAGUCAUGACAACUAAAUGUAUUAUUGUAUCCUGGAUAGGAUCCGGGAAAAACUGAGGAAAUCUGAAUAAAGUAUAGACUUUAGUAAAUAAUAAAAAUGUAUCAAUAUUGGUUCAUUAAUUUUGACAUAUGCACCACAUAUUUUUAAUGUAAGCAAGAUGUUAAUAAUGGGGAAAACUGGAUGUGGGGUGUAUGGUCGCUCUGUACUAUCUUUGUAAUUUUUCUGUAAAUCUAAAACUUCUAAAAAAUAAAGUUUAAAA